rnacentral:rRNA from 1 species
GAUGAACGCUGGCGGCGUGCCUUAUACAUGCAAGUCGAGCGAACAGACGAGGAGCUUGCUCCUCUGACGUUAGCGGCGGACGGGUGAGUAACACGUGGAUAACCUACCUAUAAGACUGGGAUAACUUCGGGAAACCGGAGCUAAUACCGGAUAAUAUAUUGAACCGCAUGGUUCAAUAGUGAAAGACGGUUUUGCUGUCACUUAUAGAUGGAUCCGCGCCGCAUUAGCUAGUUGGUAAGGUAACGGCUUACCAAGGCGACGAUGCGUAGCCGACCUGAGAGGGUGAUCGGCCACACUGGAACUGAGACACGGUCCAGACUCCUACGGGAGGCAGCAGUAGGGAAUCUUCCGCAAUGGGCGAAAGCCUGACGGAGCAACGCCGCGUGAGUGAUGAAGGUCUUCGGAUCGUAAAACUCUGUUAUUAGGGAAGAACAAAUGUGUAAGUAACUAUGCACGUCUUGACGGUACCUAAUCAGAAAGCCACGGCUAACUACGUG